rnacentral:sRNA from 1 species
AAUAAAACCUGAUAAUAGCGGCAGCUCCCGAUUUAAGCACUAUUUUUUGUCUUUUAUUUAUGCUGUGCUUGCUUGUUUCACAGGUUUCACGGGACUAUAGCGGUUAGCAGGACAGCAG